GAUGAACGCUGGCGGCGUGCCUAAUACAUGCAAGUCGAGCAAACGGACGAGAAGCUUGCUUCUCUGAUGUUAGCGGCGGACGGGUGAGUAACACGUGGAUAACCUACCUAUAAGACUGGGAUAACUUCGGGAAACCGGAGCUAAUACCGGAUAAUAUUUUGAACCGCAUGGUUCAAAAGUGAAAGACGGUCUUGCUGUCACUUAUAGAUGGAUCCGCGCUGCAUUAGCUAGUUGGUAAGGUAGCGGCUUACCAAGGCAACGAUGCAUAGCCGACCUGAGAGGGUGAUCGGCCACACUGGAACUGAGACACGGUCCAGACUCCUACGGGAGGCAGCAGUAGGGAAUCUUCCGCAAUGGGCGAAAGCCUGACGGAGCAACGCCGCGUGAGUGAUGAAGGUCUUCGGAUCGUAAAACUCUGUUAUUAGGGAAGAACAUAUGUGUAAGUAACUGUGCACAUCUUGACGGUACCUAAUCAGAAAGCCACGGCUAACUACGUG
rnacentral:rRNA from 1 species